rnacentral:rRNA from 1 species
AUUGAACGCUAGCGGGAUGCUUUACACAUGCAAGUCGAACGAGUGGCGGACGGGUGAGUAAUAUAUCGGAACGUGCCCAGUGGAGGGGGAUAACUACUGGACAGAGUGGCUAAUACCGCAUUCUAUUGCAGCGGCCGAUAUCGGAUUAGCUAGGUGGUGGGGUAAAGGCUCACCAAGGCCACGAUCCGUAGCUGGUUUGAGAGGAGGACCAGCCACACUGGGACUGAGACACGGCCCAGACUCCUACGGGAGGCAGCAGUGGGGAAUUUUGGACAAUGGGGGAAACCCUGAUCCAGCCAUCCCGCGGGUGUGAGAAGGCCUUCGGAUUGUAAAGUACUUUUGGCAGGGAAGCGGUAUCUGCAGAAUAAGCACCGGCUAACUACGUGCCAGCAGCCGCGGUAAUUC